rnacentral:rRNA from 1 species
CAACCUGCCUGUUACCACGGCACAGCCCGUCGAAAGGCGGAUUAAUGCCGUAUGUGGUCCUUUGCGGGCAUCUAAUUAGGACUAAAGGUUCAGCGGUAACGGAUGGGGAUGCGUCCGAUUAGCUAGACGGCGGGGUAACGGCCCACCGUGGCGACGAUCGGUAGGGGUUCUGAGAGGAAGGUCCCCCACACUGGAACUGAGACACGGUCCAGACUCCUACGGGAGGCAGCAGUGAGGAAUAUUGGUCAAUGGGCGUAAGCCUGAACCAGCCAAGUAGCGUGAGGGAAGACUGCCCUAUGGGUUGUAAACCUCUUUUGUGCGGGGAUAAAGUGAGGGACGUGUCCCUUAUUGCAGGUACCGCACGAAUAAGGACCGGCUAAUUCCGUGCCAGCAGCCGCGGUAAUACGGAAGGUCCGGGCGUUAUCCGGAUUUAUUGGGCUUAAAGGGAGCGCAGGCCGUCCUUUAAGCGUGCUGUGAAAUGCCGCGGCUCAACCGUGGCACUGCAGCGCGAACUGGAGGACUUGAGUACGCACGAGGUAGGCGGAAUUCGUGGUGUAGCGGUGAAAUGCUUAGAUAUCACGAAGAACUCCGAUUG